rnacentral:rRNA from 1 species
UACGUAGGGCGCAAGCGUUAUCCGGAAUUAUUGGGCGUAAAGAGCUCGUAGGCGGUUUGUCGCGUCUGCCGUGAAAGUCCGGGGCUCAACUCCGGAUCUGCGGUGGUACGGGCAGACUAGAGUGAUGUAGGGGAGACUGGAAUUCCUGGUGUAGCGGUGAAAUGCGCAGAUAUCAGGAGGAACACCGGUGGCGAAGGCGGGUCUCUGGCCGAUACUGACGCUGAGGAGCGAAAGCGUGGGGAGCGAACCGG